CUUCCUCCGCCGGCGACCGGCGCACGGGUGAGUAACACGUAUGCAACCUGCCCCUGUCAGGGGGACAACCCGCCGAAAGGCGGGCUAAACCCGCGUACAUGCCACCGGGGCAUCCCGGAGGCAGGAAAGGCUUCGGCCGGACAGGGAUGGGCAUGCGGCGCAUUAGGCAGUAGGCGGGGUAACGGCCCACCUAACCGACGAUGCGUAGGGGUUCUGAGAGGAAGGUCCCCCACACUGGUACUGAGACACGGACCAGACUCCUACGGGAGGCAGCAG
rnacentral:rRNA from 1 species